CACAGGCAGAGGGAGAAGCAGGAUCCCUGCCGAGCAAGGAGCCCGAUAUGGGACUCGAUCCCAGGAUGCUGGGAUCAUGACCUGAGCUGAAGGCAGAUGCUUAACCAACUGAGCCACCCAGGCAUCCUGGGGCCAUUCUUGAUAGACUUAUGUCUUAUCUUUUUCUAAAUUCUAACAAAUAUGAUCAUUCUUCUUUUCAUAAGUAAGAAUACCUUGCCUUAUUUAACACAGAUGUCCCCAAUUAAACUUUAUUAAAUUAUCUUCUUAUAUUUUGGUGACCUUUAGUUUAGGGAAUAGCUGCUAAGCCAAAAGCCAGGACACACACACACACACACACAUGCAUGAACACACAGUAGAUCAGUAAAUUUCUGGACUCAAAUAGUCCAUUAUCUUGAUUUCAUGCAAAUCUGGCUUUUUCUUCUUAAAUUAUGCCAGUGUUUUACCCCUGAAUCACUCAUAGUUCUUUCUCCAAGAUCUCUUAUCCCGAGCUUUACAAGUAUGAACUCUGAGAUCAGCCUUGUACUAGGUAGUGCGGGGAAGAAUCAGUCAUCCACUGGGCAGCUACUAUCUUCAAAGAACCAUUGUUCAGAAAAAUCAUUGAACAGUAGUACAGUAAGGAAGGGAGGAAGUAAAAAAGGACUAACACAGAGACUUGAGAGAAAGAGAAUCUUACUCUACCUUCUACCUAUAUACUAUACUAACUCCCUACCACUUUUGAGUAAUAUGAGAAUACACAGAUAAAUAAUGACAUGGGGAUUUUUCCAGAUCCUUAAUCACACUCUAGUAUGUACCUAGCAUUUGUCAUGUAUGUCUUCUAUUUAUGGAACACUUUGCUAUAACCAUGCAAUGUGCAAGCUUUCAACAUGGCGGAUUAAUUAUAAUCCACCUAAUAAACAAGAUUAUGUGCCCACUCAUGGGAAACUUUAUGUCUUACUGCUCUGAGGACAGUGCUAAAUCCAAGGAAAAUACUUGUGAAAUGAAUUAAUAAACCAGUGAAUGAGUAAAAAAUACAUGUUAAGAUAGAUAUUUUCAAACAAUGGCAAUAUUUCAAAACCUGACACGUGCCUCUUUUUUUUUUUUUUUUUUUUUUUUUUUUUUUUUUUUUUUAGCCCGAUGUGGGACUCGAUGCCAGAAGCCUGGGAUCAUGACCUGAGCCGAAGGCAGACACUUAACAUCUGAGCCACCCAGGUGUCCUGCUUCUUUUAAAAAACAUGAAUGAAAUGAGGAUUCUGCAUAUAAUGUGUCAAUAUGACCUUGUAUGUGACCAAAUGCUUUCUCCUUCUCACAAGAAAAUUGUUGUAAGUCCUAAUCGGAAGGAUCAUAUUACGCAUGCUCUAAGAUUCUGAUUCCACAGCUCUGGGGCAGGACCAGAGUUCUGCAUUUCUAACAGGCUCAGUGGUGAUGCCAAUGUUGCUGUUCCAAGAACCACAUAUUGAAUAGCAAAGUCCUAAACAGGCCUGCCUCAAACAUGUCUCGUAAAUGUCUGUGACUUUUCAUAGGAAGACAGUAUCUUGAAACGUGAGUCUUAAUCUUUCAUGGGAUGUCGUCCAUAAUUUGAAAUCUCUUUACAUCAUUGUUUCCCAAAGUGAGCUGUGUGGGAAAACAAGUUCUGACAACUGG